GCCGGGAUGGCGGAAUGGUAGACGCACGGGACUCAAAAUCCCGCGCUGGCAACAGCAUGAGAGUUCGAGUCUCUCUCCCGGCA
rnacentral:tRNA from 1 species